GUCCUUUUUCAUGCCUGAGGGAGCAGAUGUGAUUGCCUGUGAUUGAAGCCAGUGGAGAGUUAUAAACUAUUUUUGUUCUACCAUGGAUGAUGCCUAAACUCUUCCACUCUUCCACAGCUGAACAUACUGACUUGUGGAGUCAUUGGCUCCUAUUCGGUGGUUUUAGCCAUUGACAGUUACUUGUCCACAAGCCUUUCCUACAUCACUUUGAACGUACUCAAGAGAGCGCUCAACAAGGAUUUCCACAGAGCUUUCACAAAUGUGCCUUUUCAAACGAAUGACUUUAUUAUCCUGGCAGUAUGGGGCAUGCUGGCUGUAAGUGGAAUUACGUUACAGAUUCGAAGAGAGAGAGGACGACCAUUCUUCCCUCCCCACCCAUACAAGUUAUGGAAGCAAGAGAGAGAGCGCCGAG
rnacentral:sRNA from 1 species